rnacentral:rRNA from 1 species
UUCAGCUUACACCUGAAAAAUGUCUGCUAACGCCAGAUCGUCUUGAUGCCAAACUCUAGCCCAAUCGACAUGACCUGGAAUAACAAAGCCACUUCCCUCCACCCAACUAAAGCAUUUACCAGUCCUAGUAUAGGCGAUAGAAAAGACACCAUUGGCGCGAUAGAGAUCACGUACCGUAAGGGAAAGAUGAAAUAGCAAUGAAAACUAAGCUAUAAACAGCAAAGAUCAACCCUUGUACCUUUUGCAUCAUGGUCUAGCAAGAAAAACCAAGCAAAAUGAAUUUAAGUUUGCCACCCCGAAAMCCAAGCGAGCUACUUACGAGCAGCUAUCAUUGAGCGAACCCGUCUCUGUGGCAAAAGAGUGGGAUGACUCGUUAGUAGAGGUGAAAARCCAACCGAGCUGGGUGAUAGCUGGUUGCCUGUGAAACGAAUCUUAGUUCACUCUUAAUUCUUCUCCAAGGAACCCCACAAACCCUAAUGAAGCGAAUUAAGGGCUAUUUAAAGGAGGUACAGCUCCUUUAAAAAAGAAUACAAUCUCUUCGAGCGGAUAAAUACUAACCCCUUGCAACUGAAUUGUGGGCCCUCAAGCAGCCAUCAACAAAGAGUGCGUUAAAGCUCUACACCCCAAAAAUACAAGAACCCUAUGACUCCCUCCUCAUUAACAGGCCAACCUAUAUUUAAAUAGGAGAAUUAAUGCUAGAAUGAGUAACCAGGGUCCUCCCUCUACGACGCAAGCUUACAUCCACACAUUAUUAACAAACACUCAAUAUACGACAAAUCAAACAAGCACAGUAUUAAGCAUCUUGUUAACCCGACAGAGGAGCGUCCACUAAGAAAGAUUAAA